AAAAAAAUGGCAAUCCCAGUAAGGCCAUUACUCCUUCAACUCUUCCUCCUCACCCUGCUCUUAAUCUCAAUCCAUCAAUCACACCCAGCCAUUGCAUCCACAACCCAUCUCCCACUUUCCAAAUAUCCUCACUCACUAUCAGUCACUGACUUCGGAGCCAUUGGUGACGGACUCCACUAUGACACAGUCGCCAUCCAAUCCGCCAUCAAAGCCUGCCCCGCCUCCCACCACACCCAAUGCCACGUUACCUUCCCUCCCGGAACCUACCUCACCAAAACCCUGUUCCUCAAAUCCGGCGUCGUAUUGGACAUCAAAGAAAAUGCAACAUUGCUGGGUAGUACAAAAAUGGAGGACUACCCAAAAGAAUCGCGGGAAUGGUACGUGGUGGUGGCGGAGAACGCGAGUGAUGUGGGGAUCACUGGCGGAGGCGUGGUGGAUGGACAUGGUUUGGGUUUUGUGAAGAGGUUUGAUGUGAGGAAGAAUGUGAUGGUGAGUUGGAACACCACCGGAGCUUGUUUAGGAGAUGAGUGUAGACCCAGGCUUGUUGGUUUCAUUGAUUGUAAGAAUGUUAGGGUUUGGAAUAUCACACUCACAGAGCCUGCAUAUUGGUGCUUGCACAUAGUACGGUGUGAAAACACAUCAAUUCAUGAUGUUUCGAUUUAUGGAAACUUCAACACACCUAACAAUGAUGGGAUUGAUAUUGAGGAUUCAAAUAAUACAGUCAUUACAAGGUGUCACAUCGAUACAGGAGAUGAUGCUAUUUGUCCAAAGACAUACACUGGCCCCCUUUAUAACUUGAUUGUGACAAACUGUUGGAUUCGAACAAAAUCUUCAGCAAUCAAACUUGGUAGUGCUAGUUCAUUUGAUUUCAAGGGUCUAAUUUUUGACAACAUCACAAUUGUACAGUCUCAUAGAGGGCUGGGAUUUCAAAUACGUGAUGGAGGAAAUGUAAGUGACGUUACCUUCUCAAACAUAAACAUAAGCACAAGAUACUAUGAUCCUUCAUGGUGGGGAAGAGCGGAGCCUAUAUAUGUGACAACAUGCCCAAGAGACUCUAGUGCAAAGGAGGGUUCAAUCUCAAAUGUAGUUUUUAUUAACAUCACUGCAAAUUCUGAAAAUGGUGUAUUCUUAUCAGGUUCUAAACAUGGGUUACUAAACAAUUUGAGAUUCAUAAAUGUGAACCUGACUUAUAGAAGAUGGACAAAUUAUUCUGGUGGAUUGAUAGAUUACAGACCAGGAUGUCAGGGACUUGUUAAUCACAGCAUUGCUGGGAUCAUCAUGGAACACAUUGAAGGUUUGGAGGUUGAAAAUGUUGACAUGAGAUGGUCUAAUCACCAAUCAGGACGCUGGAACAAUCCUCUUGAUUUCAAGCCUUCAACUGUAAAUAAUAUUUCUUUGUUUAAUUUUCGUUCAAGUUUGUACUAAAAACUAAUUCAACACCUCCAGAACUCACACUUCGACCCCAACAACACCCACGAUGACUUAUUGGAGCCUUCGUGUUCUUGGCCUGACCUCAACCCCAAAACCCCGUGGGACCUCAAGCCUAGAGACCUCUCCGAUGAAGUGCCACCGUCUAACCCUGACAACAAUGUUCCUUACCAGUUCAACCAUGACUCUUCCACCCUCGCUUCCAAGCUCCGUAACCACUAG